rnacentral:rRNA from 1 species
UACGUAGGUGGCAAGCGUUGUCCGGAUUUACUGGGCGUAAAGAGCGCGCAGGCGGUCGUUCAAGUCGCGUGUGAAAGCCCCCGGCUCAACUGGGGAGGGUCACGCGAUACUGAUCGACUCGAAGGCAGGAGAGGGUAGUGGAAUUCCCGGUGUAGUGGUGAAAUGCGUAGAUAUCGGGAGGAACACCAGUGGCGAAGGCGGCUUCCUGGACACUAACUGACGCUGAGACGCGAAAGCGUGGGGAGCAAACAGG